UUGAAGUAGGAAAAAAAAAGCCAACUUCCCUCUUCUCUCCACCCUUCUCAUCCUUUCUGAGUGACUCAUUUGAACUGGGACAAUUAAUCUUAAUCAGGACGGCAUGACAGCAGAAGACAUCCACAGUGAGGCAUCACCACUGUGGGAUCCCUUCCACACAAAGUUCAAGCUGUCCUCUUUUACCUCUGCAAACUUCUUGGUGUAGAAGGGCAGCGGGGGAAUGAAGAGGAGAAGGAUGGUGAGCAGCGGCUGAGGAUUAGUAGCACCCAGGAAGGGCACUGUCAGUGUUGAGAUCCUUGGGAGACUUGUGGAGCAGCAGGACAGACAGGUGGAGCUGUUCUGGAGCAUUUCAAAUCAUCUGACCAUGGGACCAAAUUUCCUGCGAGAAUUAUGUUCAUGAUUUCUGUUUGAUGGAUGGAACCCUAUCAAUCAGUUCGUGUGUCAAGAGAAGACAAAAGCUAUAUUUAUAUAAGUUUUCAUUCAGUUAUUUAGCUAAGCAGGGUGGCAAGUGAUAGUCUCUGGGCCUCUUCACUUUCAAUUUUUCUUUGAGUUUCUAACCUUCAAUGCAAAGAUGAUAGCAAUAAUGACACUGUGACUCAUCCACAUUUAUACUGAAGAAGCUCCCUUUGGAGUCUCUAGGGUUUCCACUGUUGCCUGGAUCAAUCCAGAUUUAUUCACGCUCUUCUGGGCACUGGUUUACCUUUUACCCCAUCAGAAUUGUUCAAUUUUAUUCAAAUACAAUGAUGUGUCACGGGGUUGUCAUUAGUGCAAUUUAUCAGAUACUGCUGGCUUUUUGCUUUUUGGGUGCAUGGUAAGAAUGCAUGUCUUAGGGCCAGGGAUACAGCUCAGCGGUGCAGUGCCUGCCUGGCAACUGUGAGAUUGUGAGUUUGAUUUUUGGUACAAAAAAAAAAGUGCAUGCCUUGCUGCCCUUCUGAUUAAAGGGGUGCCGUGUCAUUGGUGAGGAUUAAUAAGUUGCCAUUAUAAAUGCUGUAUGUCACUUCCAUGCUAAAACAUUUAACUGCUGGAAUGAAACCAUUUACAGCUGUCUUUCCCUUUUCCAUAGUGACUCGUAGUGCUCCAAAUGGUGGCUGCAUCAGUAGACUCUAUCCUAUAGUGAGGAUGGCAUAGGACAGAAGCUACAGCCAAGGUACAAUGGAUAUGUAGGACCCGUGAGAAGCCAAUCCUUGCUGUUUCAAACCAGUAUUACUUGGAGAACAGAAUAGUUACUGGGCACCUUGGCCAUACUAAAUGAUGCAUACCUGAACUUGCAACCCAGCGUCUGCAGUCCUUCUGGUAAAAGCCCCAGAAUAGCUCCAAAUUCUUCAGAGCAUUAUUCAAAAUAUUUCAUUUUUAUUUUCCCAUCCACUUCUAAUUUCCAUUGACCACAUUCUAAUUCCCUAGACAGUAGAUGGUCUGGAAGGUCUUCUAUUCUCACAAGUUGAAAAGUUCACUUAAAAUAUUUGUUAUACUCGGAUUGAAAAUUAUUUGGGUUACAUAUCUUCCAAACACUUGGUCACAUGUUGCAAGACCAAUUUCUUACUCCUUUUUGCGCUCACCCUUACUCAAUCUAUUCCCCAGUCAGUGCUCACCUCUUUUUUGCCUCACUGUCCUCCUCUUCAUUCUUGUCAUCCUUGUAUGGAAUGUAAAGAGUUUUCUGGACAACACAGGGUUGGGAACGUGGGAGGUUGAUCCAAUUGACCAAUUAACAUAGGGUCUUUUUCACAGAGCUCCUGACACAGUUAUUUGGCCUAUAUUUCAAGUGUCCACUUCGCUUUAUUCAAAGGAGGCCAUUCUAAUUGAGAGUUUGGUAAUUUCAUAGUGUUUCAAUAUAGGAAAAAGCAGAGAGACUAAGGCACUCAUUUGUCCAGUAACUGAAGGAUAUUAUUGUCCAGGAGCAAAUAACUCAUGCAUCUCUCAUGCCUAAGUGAAGUUUCUUUGAUAGGACUCCAUGUCUGAGACUAUUCUUAUGGGUAUUUUUAUGCUUUUUGAGUGUCCAUAAACUAGUGUGAAAUGUGCCACAAACUGUGUGGUGUGUGAGAUGUGGACAGUUCGGGAAGUCUGAGAGAGGGACACGUGGUAUUCAGAAGUUCUCCAUUCCAUCACUUCUACUACACUGAACAGCUCCCUAGCUUGCAAAGCCCCUGCCUCAGUUUUGUUCCUGGAACCCCUAUUAUGUGUAACUUUCCUGAACCUCGCUUGUGUUACCUACCUCAUUUUCUGCUUUAUAGUAGAACAGCUGAUAUGCUUGCUUUCAUCUCCUAUCCAAACUCACAGCGAUACCAAAUCCAUACCCUCGUAAAGGCUAAAACUAUUUAUGACUCAUUUUUCUAAAAAAUGUACAAAGCAUGACUUAAUUUGCUCACAAAUGAGUUCACUUGAAAUAGGCAUGUCACUCAAAAAAAAAAGAAGUCUAUUCUGUCACUUGUUGUGACUGAAAACUAUAGUUCAAGAGACAGCCCUGACAGGUUGUCCUCCCAAAGCAGAGAAAUUUAGGCAAAAAAGACAAUUGAGCAGUGAUGGAGGGGGACAUUGUUGUAGGAACAUCCCUGAUACUCCCGUAUCACUGACUGGCUAAUAAAUUGGUUAAAAACAAAACAAGACAAAACAAAUAAAACAUAUAUGCUUAUCCUCAAUCUAACCCUUCCCCUAUACUUUGCCUUUAAGUGUGUCCUCAUAAGGCGGGGCUUGCAACACAAUCAUGGUAGAAAAAAUAAAAUUCUAUGUUUAA